GACGAACGCUGGCGGCGUGCUUAACACAUGCAAGUCGAACGGAAAGGCCCUGCUUUUGUGGGGUGCUCGAGUGGCGAACGGGUGAGUAACACGUGAGUAACCUGCCCUUGACUUUGGGAUAACUUCAGGAAACUGGGGCUCAUACCGGAUAGGAGCUCCUGCUGCUUGGUGGGGGUUGGAAAGUUUCGGCGGUUGGGGAUGGACUCGCGGCUUAUCAGCUUGGUGGUGGGGUAGUGGCUUACCAAGGCUUUGAAGGGUAGCCGACCUGAGAGGGGAACCGGCCACAUUAGGACUGAGAUGCGGCCCAGACCACUACGGGAGGCAGCGGAGGGGAAUAGUACACAAUAGGCGGAAGCCUGGUCCGACAACGCCGCGUGCGGGAUGACGUCCUGGGGGUUGUGAACCGCUUUCGCCUGUGACGAAGCGUGAGUGACGGUAAUGGGUAAAGAAGCACCGGCUAACUACGUG
rnacentral:rRNA from 1 species